GAACCCUUUUCUCAAGGUAACUAAUCGCAUAUCCUUUUAUGAAAUCUAUGCUUGAAUAAGUGUCCCUUGCUCAAUAGUCACAACAAUUCACUAAUUUAGCGAGAGAUAUGAAAUAACUAAACAAAAAGAACUUGCAUUAAAUGCUUCCUUUUUUCAAAUCCCAGAGAGAAAGGUGCCUUGCAUGGCAAAAUUUUAAUUGCAGUAGCUUAGGUGGACAAUCUGUCACUAGUUCCUAGAGUAAAAAGAAAAGAAAGGAUUGCAGAGAGGGCAAGGAGGGGGG
rnacentral:misc_RNA from 1 species